rnacentral:rRNA from 1 species
UAAACUAGGAUUAGAUACCCUAUUAUAUUUAAAUAAAUAAAGUAGUAAAAAUAAUCAAACUAAUUUAAUUUGGCGGCAUUUCAUCUAAUUAGAGGAAUUUGUUUAUUAAUCGAUAAUCCACGUUAAUUUUCACUUUAACCUAAAAUUUAUAUACCGCCAUUUUAAGAAUCAAUUUAAAAAUUUCUUUCUUAAUAAAUCAUAAAAAAUUAGGUCAAGGUGUAAUCUAUAUUAAAGAAUAAAAUGAAUUACAUUAAAUAGUAUUUAAAGAUUAUUUAUAAAUAUAUCAAUAUAAAUAAGAAUUUAAAAGUAAUACAAUAAUAAUA